rnacentral:rRNA from 1 species
CUGAACCAGCCAAGUAGCGUGAAGGAUGACUGCCCUAUGGGUUGUAAACUUCUUUUAUACGGGAAUAAAGUGAGGCACGCGUGCCUUUUUGUAUGUACCGUAUGAAUAAGGAUCGGCUAACUCCGUGCCAGCAGCCGCGGUAAUACGGAGGAUCCGAGCGUUAUCCGGAUUUAUUGGGUUUAAAGGGAGCGUAGGCGGACGCUAAGUCAGUUGUGAAAGUUUGCGG